AAUGAACGCUGGCGGCAGGCCUAAACAUGCAAGUCGAACGCUGUAGCAAUACAGAGUGGCGCACGGGUGAGUAACAUGUGGGAAUAUGCCUAUUGGUACGGAACAACGUUUGGAAACGAACGCUAAUACCGUAUGGUCCCUUCGGGGUAAAGAUUUAUCGCCAAUAGAUUAGCCCGCACUAGAUUAGCUAGUUGGUGAGGUAAGAGCUCACCAAGCCGACGAUCGGUAGCUGGUCUGAGAGGAUGAUCAGCCACACUGGGACUGAGAUACGGCCCAGACUCCUACGGGAGGCAGCAGUGGGGAAUAUUGGACAAUGGGGGCAACCCUGAUCCAGCAAUGCCGCGUGAGUGAUGAAGGCCUUAGGGUUGUAAAGCUCUUUUGCCAGGGAAGAUGAUGACUGUACCUGGAGAAUAAGCCCGGCUAACUUCGUGCCAGCAGCCGCGGUAAU
rnacentral:rRNA from 1 species